rnacentral:ncRNA from 2 species
AUCGCUUCUCGGCCUUUUGGCUAAGAUCAAGUG